rnacentral:misc_RNA from 1 species
CCAAAAGCACCCACCUUCAUUUGCGCUCUACUCAUUAAGAAACAAAAUCUCAGUAUUUCUAAACGCGGCAUGAACACCAACAACCAAAAUCCCAAUAAUUAAGGCAUCAACACAUUUAAUGCCACGUAGGUACAGUGGCUUCACAGCUGGUUUUGGGUUUUUUUAUUUAGGGUAACAGUCCCUCCUUCUACCGCAGUAGGCGGUUUUCCCCCGCCCUUCUGGGUGGGGGAGGGCCACCGUUCUCCUUGCUCGGGAUGUGGGUCCCUCUCUGGCCCCGGAUGGGGGCCGUAGAUUGUCUUUUGGUGAGACUCAACCGGUAGAAAAUCAAAGAGGGUUGUCAUGGCUGCUUGGAGAUUCGUCGUGCUGGCUUCUGUAUCUCUGCAUGCAGGGUUGGUUUGAAGCAACCUGUAGAGCUUAUUAGUUUGUGUUUGUUUUGUUUUUUCCUCUGAUUCGUAUAGUGUUGAUAGUGUUUAGAGGCUGAUUUGGUCAUGGGAAGGCCGCAAUCUGGAGUCUUUACCCACAUUUAUAAUGGCUGACUCUCAAAGCCUUGAAUGGCUGAGGAGCUGCAACGCCUUUUCAUCUAGGUCUUUACUAGCACACACAUGGUUGGAGUGUUGGUGUUUAGUUUUAACACAUCUCUUCCUUGCCUUGUUGCUGGGUGUUUUUCUCUCUUGGGGCUUGGCUAUGCUUGGUGCUCUCUGUUCUUCCUUGAGCUUUGAUUCCUGGAUGACAGCCAUGGAGAUGGAGGUGGCAGUGGUAGCUGCCAAGUUUCUUCUUCCAUAGCCAGGGUUUGUGGGUGUGCUGGGUUAUGUGCUGGUCUUGUUAGCCAUGGGUUGUUUGCAAAUGAGCCGAGCUGCAUUAUUUUCAAGGCCUUCGGUCUGUUCUUUAGCUCUCGUAUUUGUAAUUGGG